ACAUCUUUAGCUUCCGAAGAGAUAUAAUAAUCAUAAGCACAUUCAAAUAUAAAACAAAGACACUCGGGAACAAAACGAACAUUGUUAGCUUCACCCCAGCAAAGAAAAUAAAGGCACACCUGCACCAUCAUGCGAUGGGGUGAAAAUGCUGCCAUUUGAUCUCUCCAUGCCUGUUCAGCUUCUUUCAAAGUCAUUGUUUCGACAAUUGGGGAAGACAUAUCGUGAAAUCCAAUGGCAUGACCGUCAUUAAAAUGAGAAGCAAAGUACCACUUUGAAAAAUUUGCAUGUUCACCACCAAUGACAUCGGCAUGGAUAGUAAGCAGUGCCGAGGAAGGAGACAUACGAGAUGCCCGAGAAUCUAAAAGAACCAUAACAUAAUCAAAAAUGUUACGCAUGUUAUCUUUUUGAAAACCAAGUUUAUUUGUAAGGUCCAACAAGAUCUCUUGAACACCUUCCAUAGUAACAGGAGCCUCUUCACCAGCUUGAUUCCAAGCCGGAUAAGCAACUGAACUGGAAUCGACAUUAAAUGAAGAGCUAUCAUAAUCAGAAUGUAAUGCAUCACGAGAAGAGUUUUUAUCGUAAAUCAUACGGGUCAGAGAGCUCAUAGUAUCAUCGUCAGAGACAUAACUAUUGGCAUCAUCUUCAAAGAGUCCACGACCCUCUUGUUCACGCCAAUACUGAUCCAUGAUGAAUAAAUAGACUCAAAAGAAGGAGAGAGGACAAAUUUUAAUGCUUAAAUUAAGAAGAAUUGAAAGAAAGAAAAGUUGGAAUUUGUGAGAAAGAAUGCUAGCAAAUGAGGAACGAUGUUCAAAAGAAAGAAAUAAAUUUAAGAGACCUUGAAAAAAAGAUUAAAAAGAAAGAAGUUAAGCCUUGGAAAAUGGGGGCAAAAGAGUAGAAGAGAAAAAAAUUUGUGCUGAUUGAAAUGAAAAAAGUAAAAGACUUUUUCAAAUCCUAAAAAGAAGAAAAAAGGGUGAUAUAUGUAUGCCGGAUGAGAGAAGACGGCGGAAAAAGCUCUAAAAGUAGGAAAAAGGGUGGGAUCACGAAGUGAAAGAGUAGUUAAGAUAUCGGAGGUUCAAAAGGGAAUGAACGGAACCUAAAAAUACAGUAUGCAAAUUAUAAAAAAAGAGGCGAAAAAAAAGAAGAAAUAAUUAUAAAAACAACAAUAAUAAUACCAUAAAACAGCAAGCACCAAAAGAAGUACUUACAAAUGCACACCUAGGAAACUGACCAAAUUUUUAAAAAAGCGAUUCAAGGAAGGACGUUUUUUUAAAAGAAAAGGAGAAAAUAUAAAAUCGCUUUCCACAUAAACUUUAGAUUGAACAAUUAAAUUGUCGUAUGCAGAAGCUUAUUUACAAUCUCUCAAAGCGAAAAAAAAGUAAAUGGAGAUGGGAAAAUGGAAGGAAAAGAGAAGCGAAAGGGUAAGAGGAACCCGGGACAAACGCCAAACGUCCACACAAACACAAUGCUACGACAAAAGGUGAUCUUGCACACACCGAAAACUUAGCAGUGAUGGAGCAACUAACGUAAAGAUAAUAUCACACAAGAAAACUUGGCAAAUGUUAAGAUGGAGUCAACCUUUUUGUAUGGAGGCUAAUAGGAAAAAAGAGAGGAAAAAGAAAAGAAGGAACCAAUGAUAGAUAUAUAAGAAGGAAGAAAAAAUUAAUUCCG
rnacentral:lncRNA from 1 species